rnacentral:misc_RNA from 1 species
AAGUCGUAACAAGGUCUCCGUAGGUGAACCUGCGGAGGGAUCAUUAACACGUAUCCAACACGUUCAAACCAAACCGUGCUCCUCAUUCACCCAUAUAGCAUUAAGUGAUUCGUAAGCCACAGAUGGAAUUCUUACUCCUUCACGGGAGUAAGUCUACUUACAAUCUAUCGGUACUCGAUACCAGCUUGGUGUUGUAUGGCGUAUCCUCUUAAGCCAUCUGGUUACUAGUGCCACCCCGGCUCGACCCGGAGCCUAGUAGCCUUAUUAAACCCCAUUUUUAACCCCUUUAUUUUAUUAUUACUGACAUUAACUUUUUUAAACCUAACAGUUUGAAAAGUGUAUACGAAACGCGAACAACUCUUAGCAAUGGAUAUCUUGGUUCUC